UGCCAAUUGGCAUAAACCCGUAGAUCCGAUCUUGUGGUGAAGUAUAAUGCACAAGCUCGCUUCUAUGGGUCUGUGUCCCUAUGGUAAUCUGAC
rnacentral:miRNA from 11 species